UUUCACAAAGCACAAGAAAACCAACCUGGACUUAGACUUAAACUAUCCAAGUUCACCACAUUACAAAAUCAUGCAGCAGAAGCAACAGAGAUAACUCAGAGCAUAGUAGCCAAUGUUUUUCAUAAACCUCAAUAUUCAAGAUGGUAGAACAUCAUGUACUUAUCAACAUAAGAAAAGUAACAGCAACACCAACAGUAGCAACAAUAACAAUUAACACUAGCUCUCCCUAAAUAGUUGCAUACAGCAAGCAACUAACUGGACUUUUAAUUAACAUUAACAUGUCAAAACAUGUGACAUGCAACAAUAUUUACUCCUGAACAAAUAAAAACAAUACUAAUCAUACUGAUAACAAUAAGCAUACUAUACUCCCCAUUUUUAGCCAAAAAUUUAAAUAAAUACUAUUAAAAUUCUAAAAUGAAUUUAGUUUAUUAUAAAAAAGUAUUUUUUUUUUAUAAAGUCAGUGUUUUAAAAAUUGGACCGAACCGACCGGUCAAACCGGUUGGACCGAGAACUGGAAGGGUCACUGGUCUGGUCUGAUUGUUGGAUCGGAUAUGCUAUCGAACCGCUGAGAACUGGCUAAAACCAGAAAAAAUUGGUGAACCGACAGUUUUAUAAAAUCGGCUGUUCUAAUGCAUGUGUUUUUUCUCAUACAAAACAAUGUCGUUUUCAUGAUUUUUUUUAUAAAAAAUAUAAUUAGACUUUAUUUAAAUUUAUAUUUUGUAUUGUUUUGUUGUGAGUGAUAAUUAUAUUUAGAAUUUAAAUGUAAAGAAUAAACAUGUGAAAUUAUGAUAUUUUGAAAUUUUAAAAUUUUGUAGGUGUUGUGAUAUUUUUUAGAGGUUGAGUCAUCCGGUUCGAUCGAUUUAAUAAAAAUAUAGUAUUGCAAUAGAGACUGAUUUAUUCAACUGAGUUAUCCGAUUUAAUCCGACUUAGUCAUGCGGUUCGACCAGUAACCCAGUGGUUCGACCAAUGAACCACUAACCCGAUACCCUCAUCGAUUUGAUGACCGACCCGAUUUUUAAAAUACUGAAUUCCAUGAAAACAUAUCCAUUAAUUAUUCUUUUGAUGAUAAGGUUUAAGAAAAUUAUAGAGGUUGGAAAACAGAGUUAAAAAGAUAACUUGAUGUGUAUCUACCCAAGACUAGUGUAAAUCACCCAUCAAUCUCCUAAUUAAAUUCAACGUAUCUCAUACAUUAUUCUCUCGUUCUUUUGAUGAUAAAAUUUUAGAAAAAUUUAGAAAUUAGGAAAAAGAGUUAACAAAUAACAAUUGAUCUGUACCUGCCUAAAACCCAGUACAAAUACAGCCCCCAACUAUGUCAUUUUUAAAAAUAUUAUUUCUUUUCCUUUAAAAAAUAUAAUAUUAUGUCUUUUCCUUUUUUAAAAAAAAUAACAACAACGCCUCAGCAACACGCAUGUGACACGCAUACGACCCCUUUAUAUAGUAAAAACGAAAGCAGAGUUUUCACAAUUUCCUCUUCUCCUUUAUACUUUCAUUCUAAUCAAUAUCUCUUGAUGUAGCUUUCUGCACACAUCCAUGGCUAAAAUUUCACGGUACAAUUGGAUCGUUGCGAUGAUGGCUGAGUUUUGUGACCGCUUGCUUCAGAACAUGUUGUUGCGAUGAAGACGAGUUCUUGAGUCUUGACCGUUUGGUGCAUCCUGCAAUCGUGUUGUGAAUUUAGUUACAUGAGGUUGAAAAUUCUGUGACUGUUGUUUGGGGGAUGAAGUGGUUCUCAAUAAUAUCUCUGUGAACCGACCUUUUGCCAUGAUGGGUGCGCUUGCAUGGCAGGUCCAAAAGAAAAUGAAUAAAAAAUAUUUUGUUGUUUGUGAGAGAGAUGUACGCGGGAAUUGUCCGGGAUCAUCUCCUUCUGGUGCUAUGCUUUCGUUUUUCUUUAGUGUUCUUCCACUUUUUUUUUUUUUUCUUUUCAGAAAGCAAGUGCUCUUCCAUUUAUCAAGACUCGUAGCCGAAGAUUUAUUAUUAUCUAUAGAUUUUCUCCGUUUUUGAUAUAACAAGAUAUUGCUGAAUGAAGUUUUUCAAAUAAAUCAAGGUAAUAGGUGUUUUGGUAUUUCCGCUGAACCUUAAUUUGUAUUUAUGAGAUUGUUGAGGUAAAUUGUAUAAUACUCUUUCUUUUAUAGGUAUUCAUCAUUCAGUUAAUAAUGAUAUUCAAUAUUACUUCAUUAUUUUAUUUUAAUAUAUUUAAAAAAAAUCUAUUUAUACUAAAGACAAUUUAAAUAUAUUUAUGGAUGUCAAAGAAUUUACUUUAUUUAUUAUUAAUUGUUUUAGAGGCUUACAAAAAUUAAGAAGUGUAAUUAAUUUUAUAUAGAAAAAAGAAAUUAAGAUUGAUUUUAUAAAAUUAACAUUCAUUAGGGUUAUUGAAAAAAAUAAACUUGAAGAAUUGAAAGAAGAGAGGUUAAU